UGGGUUGUGGCUCAGAGGUAGAGUGCUUGUCUAGCAUGCAUGAGGCACUGGGUUUGAUCCUCAGCACCUCAU
rnacentral:tRNA from 1 species